rnacentral:lncRNA from 1 species
CGAGUGACGGCGGGGGAGGGGCGGGGCUUGUCCGCAGCAGUAAAGGUCCAGAGCACAGAUGUGGAGGUCACUUUUACUUUUAAUUUGAAUUUUGAUAUACCUGCCUGAUUAUGCAGGAGCGUGUUUUCAUUCCUGAUUCAGACAGAUCCGCCUGCGAGCUGCAUCCGUUCCUGCGCGUUUGACGCGAAAAAGAAAGCAAAAAAAAAAAAAAAAAAACGGGUUGCAGAUGAACGUUAGGAGGAGAAAGUGAGAUGAUGGCGGCGGAUGCGGAGGAGACGGGAGGGCGGACGGACCCGUGUGCUCCUCCCGGCAUCAGUCUGAGGCGGAGGGGCUCGGACAGGAGGUGGAGGCUGCGCUCUGUGUAUCUGCAGUGCUGUCUUCCUGUAACGAUAGCCCAUGCUGGCAUGAUGCCCUUCCUCAUCUCCUUCCUUGUUGGUUUCUGUGUUCAGGCCUUACUCAUCUACCUGUUUGUGGAGCUUCUACAGAAAUGUCAGGCAAUGCAGCUGGAGUCUCUAAAGACCGGAGUGGCAGAGUGCAUCAUGAUGAGUCCAGUGAACAUCCAGAGCCCAACCUUCACAGACGAUGAGGAAGAGGAGGAAGAUGAAGCAGACAACGCAGCAGCAGAUACAGGUCUGCUGCAGCCGCACACUCUCACACUGCAGGAGCAGGCGGAAAACCUUCAGCCCAACCUAUAUCUCCUGGGGUGCCUCUUCCUGUCUCCGCCCAUGAGCUGCGCCUUCAGCUGCAUUCUCCUCUUCCAGUUCGUUUCAAUUGGAGUUAGUUAUGUGUUAGCCGGCAGUGAGGCGUGUGCAGCACUUCUAAAUGUCAGCCACGUGUACGUGAUCCCAGCCUUCACCUGGAUUCUCACACUUGCUAUCUUGCUGGCACACUCGAUUAUUCAGCCGGUCACCUCCGUGCUCACCUUCCUCAAGGGAAUUCUGCUCAUCAUCACGGUAAUCGCUCUUUUUUAAUAGAAUAUAAUGUUGAGUUUCUUUAUUUUUGUUUUUACUUUAGGAAAAUGACUCAUUUUGUUUUUGUACAAAGAGGUCUAGCAUAGCAGAGAAGAGCUUUGGAUUUGUUCAGGACAUGGGAGAAUUUAGACAGUGCCAUACUUGUGACAGAGGAGUUCAAGAUGAAGGUGUAUGGAGAGAAAUUAGACUCAGUCGGAUUUGUGUGUGCGUAAUUCUUGAUUUGUGCGUAAAUUAAGAUUUGUGUAUGCAUAUUCUUGCUUUGUGCGUGCGUAAAUUAGAAUUUGUGCAUAAAUUUGGAUUUGUGCGUGAUUUGUUACUCAC